rnacentral:rRNA from 1 species
AGGGCACUAAGUGGAUGCCUUGACACAAGAUACCGAUGAAGGACGUGGAAGACUGCGAUAAGUUUCGGGGAGCUGUCAUACAAGCUUUGAUCCGGAAAUUUCCGAAUGGGGAAACCCAGCUAGAGUCAUGUCUAGUUACCGAUACCUGAAUAUAUAGGGUAUUCGAGAGGGAACCUGCUGAACUGAAACAUCUUAGUAGGCAGAGGAAAAGAAAGUAAAUAACGAUUCCCAGAGUAGUGGCGAGCGAAAUGGGAAGAGCCCAAACCUUUUAAGUUUUUGCCUGGUAAUUUAUUACCUGGCAAAUAAGUUGACAGACGAAUACUUAUAAGGGGUUGUGAGUUAACAAAUGACCAUGAAAGAGGUCUGGAACUUGUUCCAGCACUCUUUUAUGCGAGGAGUUGCCUGUCAGCGCUCCGUAAGGUAAGAAAUCGGCUUUGCUAGCAGAAUAAUUUGGAAAGAUUAGCCAAAGACUGUGACAGCCAGGUACGCGAAAGCGAAGCUGACCUUAUAUUUGUUUUCUCGAGUAGGUCGGGGCACGAGAAACCCUGAUUGAAUCCGGCAGGACCACCUGCCAAGGCUAAACAUAUCUUGUGAUCGAUAGUGAACAAGUACCGCGAGGGAAAGGUGAAAAGAACCCCGGGAGGGGAGUGAAAUAGAUCCUGAAACUUAGUGCCUACAAGGAGUCGGAGCAGAUUUAUUCUGUGACGGCGUGCUUUUUGUAGAACGAUCCAGCGAGUUAAUUUGCAGUGCAAGCUUAAGCCAUUUGGCGGAGGCAUAGUGAAAGCGAGCCUGAAUAGGGCGAUUUAGUACUGCGUAUUAGACCCGAAACCGGGUGACCUAACCAUGGCCAGGCUGAAGCGUAGGUAAUACUACGUGGAGGGCCGCACCGUAGAGCGUUGUAAAGCUCCCGGAUGAGCUGUGGUUAGCGGUGAAAUGCCAAUCGAACCCGGAGAUAGCUGGUUCUCCUCGAAAUAGCUUUAGGGCUAGCGUCGUGUAAUAGUGCGCGGGGGUAGAGCUCUGUAAAGGACUGGGGCUCGCAAGAGUACCCACCCUUAACAAACUACGAAUACCGCGUACCGUAUCACGGCAGUUAGAACGUCGGGGCUAAGCUCGGCGCUCGAAAGGGAAACAGCCCAGACCAUCAUCUAAGGUCCCUAAGUCUACACUCAGUGGGAAACAAGGUGAGAUUUCUUAAACAGCGAGGAUGUUGGCUUAGAAGCAGCCAUUCAUUUAAAGAGUGCGUAACAGCUCACUCGUCAAGAGAUCUUGCGUGGAAAAUGUAACGGGGCUUAAGUGUAGCACCGAAGAUAUGGAUUUGUACUUUUAGUACAAGUGGUAGAGGAGCGUUCCUAUCUGCUUUGAAGCUGAACCGUAAGGUUUGGUGGAGCGUUAGGAAGUGAGAAUGCUGGAAUGAGUAACUUCAAGACAGGUGAGAAUCCUGUCGGCCGAAAGAGCAAGGUUUCCUGAGCCAUGGUAAUCAUCUCAGGGUUAGUCGGGCCUAAGCCGAGGCGCAUAGCGUAGGCGAUGGACAACGGAUUAAUAUUUCCGUACCGGUAAUACUUUGUACAACAUGCACGGCAUGGUAGCUUGAGCGGACUCAUGGUUAUGUCCGUCUAAGUGUCUAGUCUGAGUUUACUCAGGUGAAGCACGAAUGCGAGUGUCCCUCGAGGACGCGAGUCAAGUGAGCCAAGCUGGCUAGAAAAGAUGUUGUACGCGUGGGUAUUGCCGCCCGUACCGCAAACCAACACAGGUGCUCAGGUCGAGUAGACCAAGGCUUACGAGAGAACCUUCGUUAAGGAACUCGGCAAUACAGCGACCGUAACUUCGGGAUAAGGUCUGCCUGGAUAUGCCGCAUUGUUUCUAAGAGAUAACGAGUAACGAUAACAAUAUGCGAAGUCAAAAGUUGAGAGAAAGAUACUCUUUAGAGAUAAUGCGGCAUAUCUGGGCCGCAGCUAAGGAGCCCAUGCGACUGUUUACCAAAAACACAGGUCUCUGCUAACACGAAAGUGGAUGUAUAGGGGCUGACACCUGCCCAGUGCCGGAAGGUUAAGGAGAGAGGUUCACGCUUUGAACUGAAGCCCCGGUGAACGGCGGCGGUAACUAUAACCGUCCUAAGGUAGCGAAAUUCCUUGUCGGGUAAGUUCCGACCCGCACGAAUGGUGUAACGAUAUGGGCACUGUCUCAACGAAGGCCUCGGUGAAAGUGCAUUGGCGGUAAAGAUGCCGUCUGUCCGUACCAGGACGAAAAGACCCCGUGGAGCUUUACUAUAGCUUUACAUUGAAUCGGGUUGCAACAUGUGUAGCAUAGGUGGGAGACUUUGAAGCGGAUGCGCUAGCAUUCGUGGAGUCACCGGUGAAAUACCACCCUUGUUGUAACCUUAUUCUUACGCUAACCGUUAUCCGGUUAGCGGACCGUGUAUGGUGGGUAGUUUAACUGGGGCGGUUGCCUCCUAAAGAGUAGCGGAGGCGUUCAAAGGUUGGCUAGCUUCGGAUGGAAAUCGAAGUGAUAGUGCAAACGCAUAAGCCAGCUUGACUGUGAGGGGUACAUCCCAAACAGGGACGAAAGUCGGAGUUAGUGACCCGCUGUUCCGUACAUUUAUGUACAUGAACGUGGGAUCGACAGCGUAAACGGAUAAAAGUUACCCCGGGGAUAACAGGCUUAUCGCGCCCAAUAGUUCACAUAGACGGCGCGGUUUGGCACCUCGAUGUCGGCUCAUCACAUCCUGGAGGGGGAGCACCUUCCAAGGGUUCGGCUGUUCGCCGAUUAAAGUGGUACGCGAGCUGGGUUCAGAACGUCGUGAGACAGUUCGGUUUAUAUCCGGUACGGACGUUAGGAAAUUUGAGAGGAUCUGCCCCUAGUACGAGAGGACCGGGGUGGACGAACCUCUGGUGUAUCGAUUGUUCUACCAAGGGCAUUGUCGAGUAGCUAAGUUCGGACCAGAUAAGCGCUGAAAGCAUAUUAAGCGCGAAACUGACCUCAAGAUUAGAUUUCCCUAUGAGGACACAGAAAGACUAUCUGUUUGAUAGGCGCAAGGUGGAAGUGCAGUAAUGUAUGGAGCCGAAGCGUACUAAUAGUCCCAUCGACUUUUUA